UGAAACCCAAUUCCUCAAUAGUUUCUCACCCUUCUCUUCAUCUACUCUUUCCAAAAGGUAAGCUUUUUUGCUUGCACCCUUCGCUUUUUCUCAGCUUUCAUGGAGUGUAACUGGUCAUCUACUUGCCACCCUUUUGUGCCUUGCAAACAGGGUUUUAUGCUCUAAAUUUGGUUGUGAUGCUUUUUACUUUCCACCCUUUUCUUGUUUUUUUCAAAAGGAUUGUUGUUUUGGGCUGUUUUGGUUUUGUGGGUCAAGCUGUUGUUUCCUCUGUUAUG
rnacentral:misc_RNA from 1 species